rnacentral:lncRNA from 1 species
GCGAUCGCGGCCUGGGGCCUGGCCUGGCCGGGGCGUCGGCAGCGGCGGCCAUCUUGGCUACCCGCGGAAAGGCAGUCUCCCUCCCUUCCUCCCUCAGGACCGAGGGCGGCCCAGGCCAGUGCAUGGUCAGCUAGCUCACAUCUCUAUCCCCGGCCUCUUAGCAGCACGGAACGGACGGCAGCGGCGGGCGAGGAGGAAGAUGGCGGGACGGCUGCCGGCCUGUGUGGUGGACUGUGGCACGGGAUAUACAAAACUAGGAUAUGCUGGAAAUACAGAACCACAGUUUAUCAUCCCAUCAUGUAUUGCCAUUAAAGAGUCUGCAAAAGUGGGUGAUCAAGCCCAGAGGAGGGUGAUGAAAGGCGUGGAUGACCUAGACUUCUUCAUUGGUGAUGAAGCAAUAGAAAAGCCCACAUAUGCAACAAAG